GCAAGAUAGGAUGCUUGGGGUUCUAACUAGAAAACAAAACCCCAUUUUAUUAGAAGAAAAAUACAGAAAAUCAACAAAAAAAUAGCACUUUAAUUUGUAGUUUUAAACAGACGGCAGUCCUCUUAGCUGGACAUUUGAGAAAUUGAUUUCAGGCUUCCAUCAGCACAGACGCUGGGUCCACAUCAAAGUGCGACACUCUACCUUUAUAUGGUGUGGACCAGAAGGGGCGGAGCUUCUUUUGGUCCGGUGCCCUCAAGGGGCGGUUUCUUGAGACUGUGAGGGACGGAGGAGACAAGUCUCUUAGCAGCAGCGCCGCUUCUUGGCCCUUAGUGAUACUACUUAUGUGAGCUCGGAUGGUGACCCUCUGGCACGCAUGUGUAAUUAUAUACAGCCUAUAUAUAUAUGAUAUAUAAUAUGUAUACAACCUACUAUUUUAUAUACAGUAUACUAUAAUAUUAAUAUGCUAUAUGAUAAAACACCAAGGUCUGUGUGAGUAUUCAGUCCCUCAGAGCAAUCUGAUUGGUCAAUUUGGCUUGGUGAUGCAAACAAUAGAGGAAGUAUUAGUGUGAGACACACCAAAAAGACAAAAGGCAUAACAAGCCCGCUGAGAGAGUUGCCUUCAAAGAUGGGAAGCAUAAAAGCCAGUCAACAGGGGUGCAGCAACACAGAUAAAGAGGAAAGGCACCAAAGGGACAGGAAUGACUGUGUUGAAUCCAUUCACCAAAAAGAUCCUUCCAGACAAUCUCUGCAUACUCCACUUCCAGCCACCGGUUAAGCCCUUGCCUCAUCUUAGUAAGACGGAACCAAAAGUAAUGUGAAAGGAAGCUGACUCAUCAUGAGCCAUCAAUUGAAAUGGCAUGGAAGGAAGAAGCUGGUGUCCUGAAUCUGACCCUGAACUGAA